rnacentral:hammerhead_ribozyme from 1 species
AUCCAGCUGAUGAGUACCAAAUAGGACGAAACGCGCGUCGUGGAU